rnacentral:rRNA from 1 species
GAUGAACGCUGGCGGCGUGCCUAAUACAUGCAAGUCGAGCGAACAGACGAGGAGAUUGCUCCUCUGACGUUAGCGGCGGAUGGGUGAGUAACACGUGGAUAACCUACCUAUAAAACUGGGAGAACUUCGGGAAACCGGAGCUAAUACCGGAUAAUAUAUUGAACCGCAUGGUUCAAUAGUGAAAUACGGUUUUGCUGGCAAUUAUCGAUGGAAGCGCGCCGCAUUAGACACUUGGUACGGUAACGGCUUACCAAGGCAAUGAUGAGUAGCCGACCUUAGAGGGGGAUCUGCGACACUGGAACUGAGACACGGUCCAAACUCCUACGGGAGGCAGCAGUAGCGAAUCUUCCGCAAUGGGCUAAAGCCUGACGUAGCAACGCCGCGUGAGUAAUGAAGGUCUUCGGAUCGUAAAACUCUGUUAUUAGGGAAGAACAAAUGUGUAAGUAACUAUGCACGUCUUGACGGUACCUAAUCAGAAAGCCACGGCUAGCUACGUG